rnacentral:pre_miRNA from 1 species
AUGGGGAGGUCGGAUCCUGGGCUGUGUCCCGGCGCCCUGUGCUCCCGGGGCCUGCUCUGUUGGAUUUGUGCUCCCGGCGGGUGCAGCACCCU